AAAGAAACUAACUAGGAUUCCCUUAGUAACGGCGAGUGAACCGGGAUGAGCUCAAAUUUGAAAUCUGGCGUCUUUCAGGCGUCCGAGUUGUAAUCUAUAGAGGCGUUUUCCGCGCCGGACCGCGUCCAAGUCUCUUGGAAUAGAGUAUCAAAGAGGGUGACAAUCCCGUACUUGACGCGACAACCGGUGCUCUGUGAUACGUUCUCAAUGAGUCGAGUUGUUUGGGAAUGCAGCUCUAAAUGGGUGGUAAAUUCCAUCUAAGGCUAAAUAUUGGCGAGAGACCGAUAGCGAACAAGUACCGUGAGGGAAAGAUGAAAAGCACUUUGGAAAGAGAGUUAAACAGCACGUGAAAUUGUUAAAAGGGAAACGAUUGAAGUCAGUCGUGUGGGAAGUAUUCAGCCGUCUCUGGCGGUGUAUUUGCUUCUCACGGGUCAACAUCAGUUUGAUCCGGUAGAAAAAGGCUGGAAGAAGGUGGCACCCUCGGGUGUGUUAUAGCUUCCUGUCAUAUGUGCCGGACCAGACUGAGGAACGCAGCUUGCAGUAAUGCCGGGAUUCGUCCACGUACAAGCUUAGGAUGUUGAC
rnacentral:rRNA from 1 species